rnacentral:snRNA from 1 species
GGAUGUGAGGGCAAUCUGGCUGCGACAUCUGUCACCCCAUUGAUCGCCAGGGUGGAUUUGGCUGAUCUGGCUGGCUAGGUGGAUGUCCCCUUCCUCAACGCUCCACAUGAAGCUGCAAGCUUGGUCAAAGAGGACGUCCUUCCCCGAUAGAGGAGGACUGGUCUUCAGUCAGUGGUAUACGAGUAGCUGUGUUCCCCUGCUAGGACCUCCAAACAAGCUCUCAGGUACACCUAAGAACUGAUCCCAGAGGCCUCUGAGCAGCUGGCUCCAGCCCAGAAUCCAUACAGUUAGAUCCCAGGGUGCCUCAGCUCACUGUGAUGAGCCUUCCUC